GUGUUACUCGGUUGCACAUAUACUAAAAUUGGAACGAUACAGAGAAGAUUAGCAUGCAAGGAUGACAUGCAAAUUUGUGAACCGUUCCUCAUUCCU
rnacentral:snRNA from 1 species